rnacentral:tRNA from 1 species
ACCCGGGUGGCUCAGUCAGUUAAGCGUCUGACUUCAGCUCAGGUGAUGACCUCGCGGUUCGUGGGUUCGAGCCCCACAUCAGGCU